AUACGUAGGUGACAAGCGUUAUCCGGAUUUACUGGGCGUAAAGGGCGUGUAGGCGGUCUUGCAAGUCAGAAGUGAAAUUCCUGAGCUCAACUCGGGCGCUGCUUCUGAAACUGCAGGACUUGAGUGCUGGAGGGGAUAGCGGAAUUCCUAGUGGAGCGGUAAAAUGCGCAGAUAUUAGGAAGAACACCGGUGGCGAAGGCGGCUAUCUGGACAGUAACUGACGCUGAGGCGCGAAAGCGUGGGGAUCAAACAGGAUUAGAUACCCUUGUAGUCCACGCCGUAAACGAUGAAUACUAGGUGUAGGGGGUAUCGACUCCCUCUGUGCCGCAGUUAACACAAUAAGUAUUCCGCCUGGGGAGUACGGCCGCAAGGUUGAAACUCAAAUGAAUUGACGGGU
rnacentral:rRNA from 1 species